rnacentral:rRNA from 1 species
AAGAGCUCAAAGUUGGAAACUGUUUGGCUUAGCUAAACCGUAUUGUAAACUGUAGAAACAUUUUCCUGGCACACCAGAUUAAUAAGUCCUUUGGAACAAGGCAUCAUGGAGGGUGAGAAUCCCGUCUUUGAUCUGAGUAGUUGUCUUUUGUGAUAUGUUUUCAAAGAGUCAGGUUGUUUGGGAAUGCAGCCUAAAUUGGGUGGUAAAUCUCACCUAAAGCUAAAUAUCUGCGAGAGACCGAUAGCGAACAAGUACCGUGAGGGAAAGAUGAAAAGAACUUUGAAAAGAGAGUUAAACAGUAUGUGAAAUUGUUAAAAGGGAACCGUUUGGAGCCAGACUGGUUUGACUGUAAUCAACCUAGAAUUCGUUUUGGGUGCACUUGCAGUCUAUACCUGCCAACAACAGUUUGAUUUGGAGGAAAAAAUUAGUAGGAAUGUGGCCUUUCGAGGUGUUAUAGCCUAUUAUCAUACUCUGGAUUGGACUGAGGAACGCAGCGAAUGCCUUUAGGCGAGAUUGCUGGGUGCUUUCGCUAAUAAAUGUUAGAAUUUCUGCUUCGGGUGGUGCUAAUGUUUAAAGGAGGAACACAUCUAGUAUAUUU